rnacentral:sRNA from 1 species
GGAACAACUGGAAUUUGCUGGUAAGCCUU